rnacentral:tRNA from 1 species
AUGCCGGCAAAAACAGGAGUGCAUUCUACUCUCACAAUAUUUUUCUCCAGUACUAAAUGGCAUAAACAUGUGAGUACAUUGUACCAUGGAAAAACUAAAAUGCCAGCUAAAAAUGUAGGUCUCGCCGGGAUUCGAACCCAGGUCGCCAGAUUCAAAGUCUGGAGUGCUAACCACUACACUACGAAACCAUUUGUUGAGUGUGAUCCACUGAUGAUUAUAUAUCUUUCAUUUGGCUUACAGACAAUAUUGUUUCUUUACAUUCUUAUUAAAUGUCCUACUGUCAUUUUGGACUUGCUUCUGGUUGCCACUUGGCAGCUAAAUGGCGCAAGGAAUAUCCGAUGA